CUUUGGUAGCCUCCUUACUUGCUCCACUUGCUUCAGAGAGAGAAGUGCGGGUUUGCGGUUUAGUGAAGGAGCAAGGCUCAUGUGAAUAGAAGAAUCCAAGGUAGAGCAGGAAGAGAAAUCCAGCUAGAGAAAGAGGUGGAAGUCAAAAUAAGUAGACUCUUAUUUUAAAUUUUUAAUGGCUUCUUGGUGGCUUCAAGAUAAAAGAUAGACAAUGAGGAGCUUUGUGUUUGGGAAAAGAAUAAAAGUCAACUGUAGCAAAACCUCUCAGAAGUAGGAUUUAUAAACAGUUCUCAAAGGAUGCACAUGAAAAUGUAAUUUCUUGGGAAAGUGGCAAACAGAAAAGAAUCAAACCGCAGUUGUGUGUGGCAAGGAUAAAUAUGCAACGCACCAUCAAUAGGAUUUGUUGGGUGAAUAAAAAAGCCUUUUAGCCAACAAUAUGUAAGCAGAAGAAUGGAGCAGGAGUUAGAGAGAACCCUCAAGCAAUAAUGGAGGCCACUGGAGAGGCAAGACUGCCAAAGGCUAAGUUAUUGACCCAGUAUUUUUAAAACUGCCUCCGAAAAGAAGCCUGAACGAAAGAAAAUAAUUUGUGCUAUUAGAAUGUAUUUUUCCUUUGUGUUCCUAUCUACUUCCUUCACAAGCUAUUUUUGGAGCAUUUGGCCAGAGUGAUCUUUCUGAAAUGGAAGACUCAUGUAUUGUUCCUGUGAGUCAGAUGGGAAGCUGAUGGAAAGUCUUCAGCAGAGAAAAAUCCAAAGUGACUGCAAUGAUUUACGUGACUCUACAGAUCCUGGCCCCUGUGGGUAUCACCUCCCACCUCU
rnacentral:lncRNA from 10 species